GAUGAACGCUGGCGGCGUGCCUAAUACAUGCAAGUCGAGCGAACAGACGAGAGUGCUUGCACUCUCUGACGUUAGCGGCGGACGGGUGAGUAACACGUGGGUAACCUACCUAUAAGACUGGGAUAACUUCGGGAAACCGGAGCUAAUACCGGAUAAUAUUUAGCUUCGCAUGAAGCAAUAGUGAAAGACGGUUCUGCUGUCACUUAUAGAUGGACCCGCGGUGUAUUAGCUAGUUGGUGAGGUAACGGCUCACCAAGGCAACGAUACAUAGCCGACCUGAGAGGGUGAUCGGCCACACUGGGACUGAGACACGGCCCAGACUCCUACGGGAGGCAGCAGUAGGGAAUCUUCCGCAAUGGACGAAAGUCUGACGGAGCAAUGCCGCGUGAGGGAAGAAGGUUUUCGGAUCGUAAAACUCUGUUGUAAGGGAAGAACAAGUACGUUAGUAACUGAACGUACCUUGACGGUACCUUACCAGAAAGCCACGGCUAACUACGUGC
rnacentral:rRNA from 1 species